CUCUCUGUUAGCUGCUGUGUUUCAACGAUUUUAGACUAAAAAAACGAGCAUACGGGCUUAAAUUAAUCUUGGCUGCUGUGUCAGGUGAUGCAGUGACUUAAACUAACGCUCUUGUGUCGUGUCCUGGCUGAGCUUCUUUUCCGAACACGUCCCGCAGAAGAAGCCCACAGCCCAUAAAUCCAUGAGUCAGCCACAGCCCAUCUGCUCUUACAUAAGACUCCCAUAAUGCAACACUGCCUGCUGCCUCAAUGAACAGCUCUGCUGUCUCCAGGCUUUGCUCUCCAGGCGCCUCCUCCUCCUCCUCCAAACAUGGCGCCGGCCCGCAGCGUUGCUGCUUCCCCGACAGACGACGUAGAGAGGGACAGAAGGAGGAGAAGAAGCAGCGGGUAGAAACUCACCCUGAACGUGUUUUAAAAACUCUUUAAAACGAACACAACUUCACGCUCUCUAAGAUUUCCCUCGGAAACUUUACGCACAUUUUUUUUGGAGACGUAUACGCGUCAGGCUGUGCGC